rnacentral:lncRNA from 1 species
AAGGAGCUUAGAACAAAGCUGCAAACUGCAGAAUCUGAUAAGGAGGAGUUGGAGAAAGAAGUGGAAUCAAUGAAAAAGGAGUUUCUAAGCAAAGAUUCGCGGCCAGGGUCACCUCCACCUGAUAAAGAACUGAAGAUGUCAAAUAAUCACGGAAGCAAAGCAAUAGACAUGGAUAUUGAUGUAAAGAUAAUCGGAUGGGACGCAAUGAUACGAAUUCAAUGUAGCAAAAAGAAUCACCCAGCAGCUAGGUUAAUGGCAGCCUUGAAAGACUUGGACCUGGAUGUUCAUCAUGCCAGUGUGUCGGUGGUGAAUGAUUUGAUGAUACAGCAAGCCACAGUGAAAAUGGGAAGCCGGAUUUACACACAGGAGCAGCUCAGGUUAGCCUUAUCAACCA